rnacentral:lncRNA from 1 species
UUGGUGUUGGUGCAUACGCCGGCUGGGGUUGCAUUCAAUACAUUCCCAACAGGUACAAUGCCUUGAGAAUGGCUGCAAAUGCAACUAGCAAUGUGUUUCAACAGGAUAGCAGGACUUGCGAUGAUUUCACCUGUUGCAAACUUCUGGUGGCCAGGCUUAGCUGCUACUUCUCAAGGGCUCGAGGCUUUAGAGGCCGCCGAUAGAUACACUCUCCAGGUAGCACAUUAUGCUCCUCGGUUCCUCUACCAUUACACAAGGCAAAAAUGGUUCCCUUCAUCAAACAUGGAGAAACUUAGUCAGGUAUGUAAUAUUAAAAGAGCAACUCACGGACUCGAGGUUCCCAGGUUUCGGAGCUUGCGAUACAGCAGGGAAU